AGGAAGGCCAUCGCCUCCUUGAUGAUGCUUGUCUCGUGGGAAAUUUGAAAGGAGCACAACGCAAGAAUUUUUUUAAAUGUCUCCGCCCCGACCUCCAUUGUUAUCACAAAAUUCAAAGAGAAGGCCCGUCUUUGGUCUUUGGUGGGAGCCAAACAGCUUAGUACUGUUAUGUCGCGAGAGUAG
rnacentral:rRNA from 1 species